rnacentral:guide_RNA from 1 species
AAUAUAAAAACAAAGAUCAUGAGUUAGAGAAUAAGGAUAUAUGAUAAU